rnacentral:lncRNA from 1 species
CUGGAGUGCCUACCAUGGGGGACACGUUUUGGCCUAUAACACCUUCAUAUUCUGCUUUCUUUGUUGCUUCCAGGUUUCUCCAUUCAGUUCCUACAAGCCUGCUGAGCUCUCCAAAGGAGUAGUCUGGGUGCUGAGCUUUAAUCACAGCUCUCAUCUCACUGCUAAAUAAGAUGUAACCACUCAUGUUGAUCUUCCUUUUUGAUCCCUCCUUCUUGGUGCUGCCCUUAACAGACUUGGGAGUGGACUGUGGUGGAGUAUAAGGCAUGAUAUCCAGUUCACUAGUUAAGGGGGUCUGAAGCUGAGGCAUAGAAGGUGUUUCA